rnacentral:rRNA from 1 species
ACACUCCUACGGGAGGCAGCAGUGGGGAAUUUUGGACAAUGGGCGAAAGCCUGAUCCAGCAAUGCCGCGUGUGUGAAGAAGGCCUUCGGGUUGUAAAGCACUUUUGUCCGGAAAGAAAUCCUUGGCUCUAAUACAGUCGGGGGAUGACGGUACCGGAAGAAUAAGCACCGGCUAACUACGUGCCAGCAGCCGCGGUAAUACGUAGGGUGCGAGCGUUAAUCGGAAUUACUGGGCGUAAAGCGUGCGCAGGCGGUUUGCUAAGACCGAUGUGAAAUCCCCGGGCUCAACCUGGGAACUGCAUUGGUGACUGGCAGGCUAGAGUAUUGCAGAGGGGGGUAGAAUUCCACGUGUAGCAGUGAAAUGCGUAGAGAUGUGGAGGAAUACCGAUGGCGAAGGCAGCCCCCUGGGCCAAUACUGACGCUCAGGCACGAAAGCGUGGGGAGCAAACAGGAUUAGAUACCCUGGUAGUCCCA